rnacentral:rRNA from 1 species
UGGGUCUAAUACCGGAUAUGACUCCUCAUCGCAUGGUGGGGGGUGGAAAGCUUUUUGUGGUUUUGGAUGGACUCGCGGCCUAUCAGCUUGUUGGUGAGGUAAUGGCUUACCAAGGCGACGACGGGUAGCCGGCCUGAGAGGGUGACCGGCCACACUGGGACUGAGACACGGCCCAGACUCCUACGGGAGGCAGCAGUGGGGAAUAUUGCACAAUGGGCGAAAGCCUGAUGCAGCGACGCCGCGUGAGGGAUGACGGCCUUCGGGUUGUAAACCUCUUUCAGUAGGGAAGAAGCGAAAGUGACGGUACCUGCAGAAGAAGCGCCGGCUAACUACGUGCCAGCAGCCGCGGUAAUACGUAGGGCGCAAGCGUUAUCCGGAAUUAUUGGGCGUAAAGAGCUCGUAGGCGGUUUGUCGCGUCUGCCGUGAAAGUCCGGGGCUCAACUCCGGAUCUGCGGUGGGUACGGGCAGACUAGAGUGAUGUAGGGGAGACUGGAAUUCCUGGUGUAGCGGUGAAAUGCGCAGAUAUCAGGAGGAACACCGAUGGC